GGGGGCUCGUGGUACUCCUGUUCGGCACGGCCAUGCCCACGAUCGAGAGGCCACUUCUCCUUCGCUCCUGACUCUGACCCCGAGGCUCCCAAAGGGAGGAGCCAUGUUUGAUCCCACUGGUCUAUGAUAUAAGAGUGAAGUGGACUAAGUAUGGUUCCUUAAUGAAUCCACAAGCCAAAAUAGUCAAUGUUGCAGUGCAAAUGAUUUCAUCCGCAUUUUCCAAGACUGAGUUAGAACAUGGAAGGACAGCACAGGUUUCUACUGUGGUUAGUUUCAUUGAUGUGUCUGCACCAGCAGAAGCCGGUUACAAGGCUCAGCCCACCAUUGAUGCCAAGCUGCCCUCCAAUUUCUUCUUUCCAUUUGUGUGACGUAAGUAGUUACUAAAUUCAGGAAAUCCUGGUGCUGCUGUCAAGGAUUGUUAGCCCUGAGAAUUGUGACUGUUGGGUUGAUGAUUCCCCAUAACUCUGAGAGCCAUGCCAUUCCUCCAUGCCUUUCUGCCUUUGACUUCUCCUAGAACAUUCCUUACCUGAGAUUUCUCUUGUUGCCUCUCCCUGGGCUUUUCUUGAUUUUGGCAAAGGAGGAGGGCCAAGAAGCUCAUGGGAUUUCCAGUCCUUCAGGGGACCAGAGCUGUGCCUGCUCAUCUGAUGCAGUUCCUGUCUGUGUCUUUUCACAAAUCCUACCAAGAGGAACUGCUCAACAUGGUGUAGGAUAGAGAGCUGGAAGACAGAGAGUCAGGAAGACCCAGAUUCAAAUGCUGGUCUCUGACCCAUCCUGGCUGCAUGGCCAUGGUCCUGUCACUUCUCCUCUCAGGAUCCCUAGACAGCAAGUGAGCGUUGAUUGGCAUCAAAUGAGGCAGUUUCUUCAUUUGAGUUCCUACAGUGGUGAAAUCAGGUUUGGCUAAAACCCUCCAAAUAUUCCUUGAACACCAAUGCAGCAUUCAGGGAGGGAGACUUAGCUCUGCCUUGCCCAGACUACAUUUGAAGGCUUGUCUUCAGUUUGGGGUACUCACUUUUAGGAAGGAUGUUGACAAGCCAGUACAUGAAUAUCUCAUUGAGGCUGGUCAAGACAUUGCAGGCCAGGGUGGGGUGGAGUGAGGUCUGGAAACCAUUUUUUUGCUGUUGUUCAGUCAUUUCAGUCGUGUCUGACUGUACCUGGCCCCAUUUGGGGUUUUCUUGGCAGAG